rnacentral:lncRNA from 15 species
AUGCUGAGAUCAUUCACUUCAGUUGUGAAUCUCUUCAAUAAAGUUGUAAUCAGUAAAAACUCGUCUGAGAUCAGCUGUGAGGUUUCUGCACCUCCACAUCAACAUGAUCACAGUCUGAGACAAACAUGGAGAGAUUCUUUAUAUUCUGCACUCGGCUUUAGUUUCACUUACUAUGAAGCCUGCAGCAUCACUACUGUUGCUAUGGUUUACAUUACAGUGUAGUCCACUGCUGAAUAUUACUAUGGAAUAUUUCCUUCUUUAAAGUUUCACU